UACGGGGGGGGCAAGCGUUGUUCGGAAUUACUGGGCGUAAAGGGCUCGUAGGUGGCCAACUAAGUCAGACGUGAAAUCCCUCAGCUUAACUGGGGAACUGCGUCUGAUACUGGAUGGCUUGAGUUUGGGAGAGGGACGCGGAAUUCCAGGUGUAGCGGUGAAAUGCGUAGAUAUCUGGAGGAACACCGGUGGCGAAGGCGGCUUCCUGGGCCAACACUGACACUGAUGAGCGAAAGCCAGGGGAGCAAACGGG
rnacentral:rRNA from 1 species